CACGUUUGGCAAACGUUUGCAGAUGACGCAGUGAUAAAUACAAUGCAGUUAGAGUGCAGCUGUUAAACACGUGUAGCAAACAGUUGCGCAGAUGGCAAUAGUGAAACACGGAUUUCCAACGUUUAUCAAUUUGAAAGUUUACACAGGUUUUUGAAGAAAUUUUGUUCUAGCCUAAACGUCUGUUAUCUGUGGGUAAACUCUUGAAGAAAACGACUUUGUUUUUUUUUAUUUUGUCGUUGGACGGCCAGUAGAGUAAAGUGGCAAGAAUUUUUCCAAAACACCUUGAAGAAGAAGAUGAAAAAUAUUUUGUUCAAUACCAUGUAAAUAAAUAUUUCAAGAAGAUAGAACAGACAGCUAUAAAACAGCAAAAAAAUCUAAAAGAAAUUAUAUAUGCUUCGAAGCGAUUUUCAUCGUUGGCGCCGUUUCCGUCGUCGUCAUCCUCAGCAAGUUGUUCCUUCUUAACAUCGAGUUCCACCAUUUGCGAUAGAUCGUCCUGUGUCAGCUCCUUUUGAUAGCCCAAGAACGAAUCACUCUUAUCCUGUUCCUGCUCAUGCUCCUUUCCACGAUCCUAGAGUGUAUCGAAACGACCGGCGAUGACAACAAACACUUUACACUUGGUGCACUUCCAUGCAAUUCGCCCUCGCUGAUCAACCGAUCCGAUGGGUACCGGUAGCAACUGUGCACGACAAACAGCUGACCCCGCUUGCCCGGAAUCAGUUUUGAGUCUAGUUAUGUAAGGAAUGCAAACUAGGCUCGAUGGAACCUUGCCAGUCCUGGAUAUCACACACAUUUGGAGCAACAUCAGAUGUUUUUCAAGCCGUUCUCAACUCCUAUACGGCAGUUUUCACGCCGCCACCCGCGUAACGGCUUGAUAGUUGAUAUUCGAGCUUGUAGAACCAUUUGGGCGUACCAUAUAUGAGCUCCGACGGAAAUUGAGGAUGAAAUAGAUCUCUUCUAUGAGACAGUCGUCCGACGGUG